UCUCACCGUGUUAUCGCGGACUGUGCUUUUACCCCUAUAUUAUAUAUAUUAUUUAUUAUAACGCGAUUUUUCGAUAAUGCGGUGUGCUUCAUGAACACAACUACGGCGUUAUAGGAGAACGGGCCAUGUAUAAUCCACAGUCUUAUAUAUAUCUACCGCUGGGUGAAGGCUUAGUUAGACCGUGUCAAUCAUCGAGAUUGUCUGACCAUACUUCCCUUGCCGUUUGAUUAAUGAUUUGGGUGCGUGUGUGUCUUUGUGACUAACGUAGUGCGCUAACCACUGUGCCUCCGCUUCGCUCUCUGCCUUUCAUGCUAGGGUAUACGUCAUGCAUGCCGUUAAACCACAGGUCGUGUCCCACUGCAGAACGAGGAUCCAAUUUUGAAGGAGCGGCCAAGCCUCGACGCCUCCACUCAGCCGUGCCGUGUGUGACGGCCAGAUAUGCAGCCUGGACAGGCCACCGAGGAUGCCCCCUCGACUAGAAUACAAGUCACGGAGGAUCUUCUGUGCAAGUCACUGAGCUCAGUGCGGCUUACCUGGCCUGUGGUGUCGUGGGGAUGCAUUUGUAUGUUAAGCGAUGGUAAAGGUAUAGGGUAUUAAUCGCUAUUUAACUAUUUUCUUUAUUUUACCAGGUAAGGAACACUGAGCUAUAUUUUUUUUUUUGCCAGAAGCGACCUGGCAACGUGGAAGUUUAUAGCAGCCAAGUACUCUAGACGCAUGCUUGCGAAUGUGGAUAGAAAAACCAGAGGACCCGGACAAAACUCCACGCGACCAGGGGAAGAACAUGGAAGCUCCAAAUAUAGAGGGAUCAGGGUCGGGAUUGAACCCACGACCUCCUGCAUACCAGGCGAGGUAGUUAACAUCUCCUAGCCACCGUGGCACCAGUUAUUGUACGACCGAGAUCACCAACAAUGGCUGACAUGGGGUGUCAAGUGAUGUUUGAGCUCGUGCUUGGCCCUCCCCGUCUCUCUGAUGCUCACUAAUCCCCACGGACCAGAGUGGUGAAGUAUGGUCAAACAUACCCCAUGACCGACAUGGCAUGGGGAGGCCUUCAUCCAGCAGUGAAUUGAUGAAAUGCUCUAAAUGUUUUGGAUGAGUAACUUGCCAUCUUUCAAAAUGAAAGUAAAAUUUUUAAUGAGCACUAAAACUGAUGGCAUGUGCUGUGAGUAAUGCAUUGUUUUUACGACAGUGUCCAGAUUAAAACUGUGAUUGAAUGAA